ACGAGCGAGAGAGAGCUUGCUUUCUCGAGCGAGUGGCGAACGGGUGAGUAACGCGUGAGGAACCUGCCUCAAAGAGGGGGACAACAGUUGGAAACGACUGCUAAUACCGCAUAAGCCCACGGGUCGGCAUCGACCAGAGGGAAAAGGAGCAAUCCGCUUUGAGAUGGCCUCGCGUCCGAUUAGCUAGUUGGUGAGGUAACGGCCCACCAAGGCGACGAUCGGUAGCCGGACUGAGAGGUUGAACGGCCACAUUGGGACUGAGACACGGCCCAGACUCCUACGGGAGGCAGCAGUGGGGAAUAUUGCACAAUGGGGGAAACCCUGAUGCAGCGACGCCGCGUGGAGGAAGAAGGUCUUCGGAUUGUAAACUCCUGUUGUUGAGGAAGAUAAUGACGGUACUCAACAAGGAAGUGACGGCUAACUACGUGCCAGCAGCCGCGGUAAAACGUAGGUCACAAGCGUUGUCCGGAAUUACUGGGUGUAAAGGGAGCGCAGGCGGGAAGACAAGUUGGAAGUGAAAUCCAUGGGCUCAACCCAUGAACUGCUUUCAAAACUGUUUUUCUUGAGUAGUGCAGAGGUAGGCGGAAUUCCCGGUGUAGCGGUGGAAUGCGUAGAUAUCGGGAGGAACACCAGUGGCGAAGGCGGCCUACUGGGCACCAACUGACGCUGAGGCUCGAAAGUGUGGGUAGCAAA
rnacentral:rRNA from 1 species